UCUGUAAGACAAUACAGGCAUCUAAAAGAGGAUGGAACUCACUAACUCACUACAAUAUGUACUUAAUGUCUCUAUAUGGCUUCAGUCCAUCAAUUUAAUUGAUAGCAAAAAGAUAGUAUCCAUUACCUCUGACUAUCUUUAAGUGUCCAAUUUGUGAUGUAAAGUUUUACCUUCCCAAAUAUUUGCAACAUCUACAGCUACUUCAUCAGCAUCUUCCUGAUUUAGACUUUUGUUAUUUUUUCCUGCCUAUUGUUUAAUAACGCUCAGCAUCUCCUCUGCUACUAAAACCACGAGUAGGAAAAUUCUAAUUCCAAUGAUUGUUCUUUCAGGUACCCAAACCAUAAAAAAUACACUGAUGUCCUGUGGUGUCUGAUCACUAGAUAUCCAUUUCUUAAUGACCACAGCUAAUCUGGUUAUGAGACCCUGCUGGAGUGUCUUAGGAAUAAGUUCAAAAAGGAAAGGUCUCCUUUAAUAAACCUGACGACGGUGCAGGAGAUUAAGAGAAAGUUUGGUGUCAGAAGACAAAGAAUUGUGGACCAUGUGCCUCUGGAGGACCCACCUGGACAUCAGAGAGCAAAAAAGUACAGAGUGGGGGUCCAGAUGUCUUCUGAUUACGAGCCAACACAAGAGAUUAUGUUGGACCUUGAAGCAGUUGGGGAGGACUACCAUCUGCUAACCGGCCAGUUGUGCCGUCGUCAGCCAGAUAUUAGUCAUAUAAUGGACAGGAUGAGGCAAACUGUCUAUAAGAGGGUAGAGUAAAUGGGAAAGCCAACUGAGGAGGUGAUGGAGAUGUUCCAAUUUCUUUGGGGGCCAGAGCUGAUGCAUCAUGAAAUGAAGUUGCGGUUUGGACUGGACUUAGAGCUAAGCCUGCAUAACACCCUCAGUAUAUUGACCCCUGACGUCAUCAGAGUGGCUGACAGUGGGAGUCAGAGGGAGAGGCUGUCAAGCCUACGAGACACGAACACGGAUGACCUUCAAAAAAGUGCUGCUGUCCUAAUUUUGUUUUUUUAAUUUUGCAAGUUUCUGUAUUGUUUGGACGAGGAAUCACGUGAGCGUGUUUCCAACUAUCAUCUUCCAGGGUAGCGAUACUCCCCUCCUUGCCAGGAGAGCAUCCAUAAAGAUGGAUGGCAUCACAAUAGCAAGUGGAGAGAUGGAUGUGCCACAUGCCCUCCAAUGCGAAUUUGUCAUUGGCCCCUCCCCUGACAUUGAUGCCUCCUUAGGCCUUGUCUGUAUUUUUUGUUUAUAUUUUCUUUUUGAUGUUCAGUAGCCAAAAGAGGCCCACCACACAUUACUAUUCUUUGAAAGACGCCUUAACCUGUCUAUGUCUAAGCCCUCCACUCCAGUGUUGCGUGUGGAAAAAAUGUUAUCAUAAAGUGUGUUUUAUAAUCAUUUGAAAUUUAUUAAUUUGUAAAAAUGUAACUAUUGCUGUUUUGUACGUAUUUAUGACACAUUUUUAUGCAAGUAAUAUAGAAGAUAUGUUUAAGCAAUGAAUAUGUAAAUGAAUGUGUAAAUAUGU